rnacentral:lncRNA from 1 species
CAGAUUUUGUAAUUCAUUUGUUUGCACAUAAAAAUGCAUUUUCCUGCUCUCACACUCCUUAGUAAUUCUCUUCCUAAGCCAUUUUGCAGCGUAUUUGUCAAGGAAAUUUGCCAUUUUCGAUUUGGAGACAACAACUCAAGUCAGAGUAAGGACCCAACGUCACCAUCGAUAAAUCAUUUGUGCAAUUCCCAGAGUGUAAAGGAUGACUGCAGGGCUCCAGGCGCUUUCGUUUGUUAUGAUCUCUCCACCGGGGAGUUCGUGGAUGUGGCCAAGAGCAAGUUACAACCUCUCUGGGCCUUUGUUCCCACGUCUUUGAGACCCAGAUUGAUAUUAUUAAUAAUGGCUACUUGCAGAGUAAAUCUACGUCCAAGUGUUUACUCACCUGAGCCCUGGUCAUGUGUCUGGGAGGAUCUGAAUGAAAUACUGAGAUCACUGCCAUCUUGCUUCCUCUUUUCCUACCGUGUCUGGUGGAGACCCAUCGGAGGGGAUCUGAUCUCUCCAGCUAUCUUGUGAAGCUUAAACUAAAAUGGCUUUUGCGAUCAAGCUGAACUAGAAGACAAAAUAAAAAAGUGGAAGGUCAUACCUCUUGAUGGUGCAGAGAUUUCUCACCUUCAACUUUGACCACACGACUCCUAAAGUAAUAAUACUGAUGUGACGGCUCUAACAGCAACCAUGAGAUUAU